CCUUCUUUACCUUUGCCUUGGAAAAACCAGUUUCUCUCUCUUUUAUUGUCUGUUACCUAUUUCUGCACGUUCUAUUUCUCAAAGUUCCACUGGACCCCGCCGUAUACUCCCAACCCUCUCUUCCAGCUACCUUUACUCCCUGGACUCCAGUUCCACGUUUCUCUGCUUCCAUGUUCUUUUUUCUUAAAGGGCGGAUGACUCUUCAGGACUGGCCCCCACCCUCCCCCAGGAACAGGCCUGCUGGGCUGGACACGGCACACAUCUCACCCACCUCUGCCUGGUUCCACACUGACAGACGGGUCCACAAAGUACUGUUCAUGCUCUUGGGACGGUGCAUUCUGGAAAGGAACGCCCCCGCCCCUGCAUUCCCUCAGCUUGGGAAGCAAGUUCAUUAUAGAUGGAUUUUUCUCAAGCAAUUUCAGAGCACCUGCCUCCUCCAGCCAGAACCAACCACAUCGAGCUCAGGUACGGCACCCACAGGGGACACAGACAGAGGGAGUCGAUAACCAGCAUCCCAACUAGGGAAAUGCAGAGAAGGUUCCCCCAAGGACUUGUCUGGGAGGACUGCUUUGCCGGUGAGAAACAGCAAGCGGCCCCAACCCCGCAGCCCCCACUCCUACCACUCAACACCCUCCGCCUGGGCUGCAGGCACGGGGCGGGGGCGGGGGGGGGUGCCUUGGUGAGCGAGUUCCUGCAGCCUUCCCGAUGAGCGUGACCCUGAGGGGUGCUGCGCGCUUGCACGCCCUCCGCGUCUCCCGACACUGUUUCAAAGAUCCUGCAGGCCCUUGGCCGAGCAAUACCCCGACGGGCAGAGGCCAGGGUGGCCACGCGGCCCACCCUCUGAGAAAAAGAGCCCCAGACCGUCCAUGUGUUUCUCUUGUCCUUCAUUCCACCGGAGUCUGUCUCGUACCCAACCAGAUUUCGGUGGAGUGAAGUUCAGGAGGCGUGGAGCUGACACGGCGGGGGCAACAGCGGCGAGAGUAGCUCUGACUUAGAGCAGGAAAGGCCCAGUGAGGGGUGUGAGCGCGGAGAGGGGGCAUCUGCAGGGCAUCUCCUGCAGAGGGGGCUGGGGGCUGCGCGCUGGGCAGAUUGCGAAAGACACCACAGAUGGGAGCUGCUUACUCCUUCUUGUCUGAAACUGAUGCUAUGGAAAUGUGUGUUUUCUGUAACUUCCCAAAAUUAAAAGUUGUCUGUCUCCCGGAAAGCCUGCCUCUGUGAUUCAUGCUGUGGGAUGCGGACUCCCUGGCCUUCUAAGGCACCUCCCCCUGGGGCUAGAACCAAGACAGGAGCUAGGAGCUGGAACCGUGGACACAGGCCCCCUCUGUCCUGGGGUUCUCCAGGCAGGUGGCUGGAACUUUAUUUGCGAGCCGCUAGGAGCCCCGCUGCCCUUGGCCUCCCCACGGUGCCAGCAGGACCUGCAGAAUGGGGUCCGAAUGGAUUCAGAACCUUGUUCCUGUCACCCUCCGCUCUCCAUUCGGAGGCCCAAGGACAGCAGAAGGGUGAGAGGCCAAGCCACGCGCAUUGUUUAAAACAUGUUUACCCAUAAAAAUUAUGCUGUGAAUGGGGUUGAGGGUGGGGUAGGGGGAGACUCAGCUGAAUGAACCAGCAAAUACCUCUCCUUCAAGGUUCUGAAAGAACAAAAGGGCCACAAAGUAGAAGUCAUGUGUCAUUUCCAUCUCCAGCUUGGUUUGAGCCCUGUGACCUGGAUUCUUUUUAAAGGAAGGGGCGGGGACCACUGAGUGGCUCAGGUGGU